GCAUCGGUAAAGCUACGGGUUUGAGCACGCGAUUUCGGAUAGGUGAGACGUGGGUUCGAGUCCCGCCUGAUGCA